rnacentral:siRNA from 1 species
GACUACAUUCUGGGUCACCGGGUC